rnacentral:rRNA from 1 species
GCAAGCGUUAUCCGGAAUGAUUGGGCGUAAAGCGUCCGCAGGUGGCAAUGUAAGUCUGCUGUUAAAGAGUCUAGCUCAACUAGAUACAAGCAGUGGAAACUACAUAGCUAGAGUACGUUCGGGGCAGAGGGAAUUCCUGGUGUAGCGGUGAAAUGCGUAGAGAUCAGGAAGAACACCGGUGGCGAAGGCGCUCUGCUAGGCCGUAACUGACACUGAGGGACGAAAGCUAGGGGAGCGAAUGGG